rnacentral:rRNA from 1 species
AAGGAUCAUUAUUGAAUAAACUGAUGUGGCUGUUAGCUGGCUUUUCGAAGCAUGUGCUCGUCCGUCAUCUUUAUCUCUCCACCUGUGCACAUUUUGUAGUCUUGGAUAACUCUCGAGGCAACUCGGAUUUUAGAAUCGCCGUGCUGUACAAGUCGGCUUUCCUUUCAUUUCCAAGACUAUGUUUUUAUAUACACCAAAGUAUGUUCAAAGAAUGUCAUCAAUGGGAACUUGUUUCCUAUAAAAUUAUACAACUUUCAGCAACGGAUCUCUUGGCUCUCGCAUCGAUGAAGAACGCAGCGAAAUGCGAUAAGUAAUGUGAAUUGCAGAAUUCAGUGAAUCAUCGAAUCUUUGAACGCACCUUGCGCUCCUUGGUAUUCCGAGGAGCAUGCCUGUUUGAGUGUCAUUAAAUUCUCAACCUUCCAACUUUUAUUAGCUUGGUUAGGCUUGGAUGUGGGGGUUGCGGGCUUCAUUAACGAGGUCGGCUCUCCUUAAAUGCAUUAGCGGAACUUUUGUGGACCGUCUAUUGGUGUGAUAAUUAUCUACGCCGUGGAUGUGAAGCAGCUUUAUGAAGUUCAGCUUCUAACCGUCCAUUUAUUUGGACAAUUUUUGACAAUUUGACCUCAAAUCAGGUAGGACUACCCGCUGAACUUAAGCAUAUCAAUAAGCGGAGGAAAAGAAACUAACAAGGAUUCCCCUAGUAACUGCGAGUGAAGCGGGAAAAGCUCAAAUUUAAAAUCUGGCAGUCUUUGGCUGUCCGAGUUGUAAUCUAGAGAAGUAUUAUCCGCGCUGGACCG